rnacentral:rRNA from 1 species
UACGGAGGGUGCAAGCGUUGCUCGGAAUUAUUGGGCGUAAAGGGUAGGUAGGUGGUCUCAUUUGUCUGGGGUGAAAGGCCUUGAGCUUAACUCAAGAAGUGCCCCAGAAACGGUGAGACUAGAGUCUUGGAGAGGGUCGUGGAAUUCCCGGUGUAGCGGUGAAAUGCGUAGAGAUCGGGAGGAACACCAGAGGCGAAGGCGGCGACCUGGACAAGUACUGACACUCAACUACGAAAGCGUGGGGAGCAAACAGG